rnacentral:rRNA from 1 species
UUGCACGCUGGCGGCCUGCUUUACACAUGCCAGUCGCACGGCAGCGCGGGCUUCGGCCUGGCGGCGAGUGGCGAACGGGUGAGUAAUACAUCGGAACGUGCCCAGUAGUGGGGGAUAGCUCUGCGAAAGCCGGAUUAAUACCGCAUACGACCUGAGGGUGAAAGCGGGGGAUCUUCGGACCUCGCGCUAUUGGAGCGGCCGAUGGCAGAUUAGCUAGUUGGUGGGGUAAAGGCCUACCAAGGCGACGAUCUGUAGCUGGUCUGAGAGGACGACCAGCCACACUGGGACUGAGACACGGCCCAGACUCCUACGGGGGGCAGCAGUGGGGAAUUUUGGACAAUGGGCGAAAGCCUGAUCCAGCAAUGCCGCGUGUGUGAUGAAGGCCUUCGGGUUGUAAAGCACUUUUGGCGGGAACGAAAAGGACUGUGCCAAUACCACGGUUCGAUGACGGUACCCGCAGAAUAAGCACCGGCUAACUACGUG